CCUACGGGUGGCAGCAGUAAGGAAUUUUGCACAAUGGACGAAAGUCUGAUGCAGCAACGCCGCGUGAUCGAUGAAGCUUUUAGGAGUGUAAAGAUCUGUCGUGAGGGAAGAAAAAUUUAGAUGUAAAUAAUGUUUAAACUUGACGGUACCUUACAAGAAAGCACCGGCUAACUUCGUGCCAGCAGCCGCGGUAAUACGAGGGGUGCUAGCGUUGUCCGGAAUAACUGGGCGUAAAGGGUCCGUAGGCGUUUUGCUAAGUUGAUCGUUAAAUCCAUCGGCUUAACCGAUGACAUGCGAUCAAAACUGGCAGAAUAGAAUAUGUGAGAGGAAUGUGGAAUUCCUGGUGUAGCGGUGACAUGCGUAGAUAUCAGGAGGAACACCGAUGGCGAAGGCAGCAUUCUGGCACAAUAUUGACGCUGAGGGACGAAAGCGUGGGGAGC
rnacentral:rRNA from 1 species